CCUACGGGAGGCAGCAGUGAGGAAUAUUGGUCAAUGGACGAGAGUCUGAACCAGCCAAGUAGCGUGAAGGAUGACUGCCCUAUGGGUUGUAAACUUCUUUUAUAUGGGAAUAAAAUGUUCCACGUGUGGGAUUUUGUAUGUACCAUAUGAAUAAGGAUCGGCUAACUCCGUGCCAGCAGCCGCGGUAAUACGGAGGAUCCGAGCGUUAUCCGGAUUUAUUGGGUUUAAAGGGAGCGUAGGUGGAUUGUUAAGUCAGUUGUGAAAGUUUGCGGAUCAACCGUAAAAUUGCAGUUGAAACUGGCAGUCUUGAGUACAGUAGAGGUGGGCGGAAUUCGUGGUGUAGCGGUGAAAUGCUUAGAUAUCACGAAGAACUCCGAUUGCGAAGGCAGUUCACUGGACUGCAACUGACACUGAGGCUCGAAAGUGUGGGUAUCAAACAGGAUUAGAUACACUUGUAGUC
rnacentral:rRNA from 1 species